UAGGGAAUCUUCCACAAUGGGCGAAAGCCUGAUGGAGCAACGCCGCGUGUGUGAUGAAGGGUUUCGGCUCGUAAAACUACUGUUGUAAGAGAAGAAUGACAUUGAGAGUAACUGUUCAAUGUGUGACGGUAUCUUACCAGAAAGGAACGGCUAAAUACGUGCCAG
rnacentral:rRNA from 1 species